rnacentral:rRNA from 1 species
GCCUACCAUGGUUUUAACGGGUAACGGGGAAUUAGGGUUCGAUUCCGGAGAGGGAGCCUGAGAAACGGCUACCACAUCCAAGGAAGGCAGCAGGCGCGCAAAUUACCCAAUCCCGAUACGGGGAGGUAGUGACAAUAAAUAACAAUACAGGGCUCUUAUGGGUCUUGUAAUUGGAAUGAGUACAAUUUAAAUCUCUUAACGAGGAACAAUUGGAGGGCAAGUCUGGUGCCAGCAGCCGCGGUAAUUCCAGCUCCAAUAGCGUAUAUUAAAGUUGUUGCAGUUAAAAAGCUCGUAGUUGAAUUUCGAAAUUUUUUUAUCGGUUGAAUCAACAGGUUCGUACUGAUUUUAAGAAUUUCUACCUUCUGGAGAACCUUAAUGUCAUUUAUUUGAUGUUUUGGGAAACCAGGACUGUUACCUUGAAAAAAUUAGAGUGUUUAAAGCAGGCUUAUGUCUGAAUAUAUUAGCAUGGAAUAAUGAAAUAGGACGGCAUGGUUCUAUUUUGUUGGUUUCUAGGAUCACCGUAAUGAUUAAUAGGGAUAGUUGGGGGCAUUAGUAUUCAAUUGUCAGAGGUGAAAUUCUUGGAUUUAUUGAAGACUAACUUCUGCGAAAGCAUUUGCCAAGGAUGUUUUCAUUAAUCAAGAACGAAAGUUAGGGGAUCGAAGACGAUCAGAUACCGUCGUAGUCUUAACCAUAAACUAUGCCGACUAGGAAUCGGACGAAGUUAAUUUUUUAAUGACUCGUUCGGCGCCUUACG